GAUGAACGCUGGCGGCGUGCCUAAUACAUGCAAGUCGAGCGAACAGAUGAGGAGCUUGCUCCUCUGACGUUAGCGGCGGACGGGUGAGUAACACGUGGAUAACCUACCUAUAAGACUGGGAUAACUUCGGGAAACCGGAGCUAAUACCGGAUAAUAUAUUGAACCGCAUGGUUCAAUAGUGAAAGACGGUUUUGCUGUCACUUAUAGAUGGAUCCGCGCCGCAUUAGCUAGUUGGUAAGGUAACGGCUUACCAAGGCAACGAUGCGUAGCCGACCUGAGAGGGUGAUCGGCCACACUGGAACUGAGACACGGUCCAUGCUCCUACGGGAGGCAGCAGUAGGGAAUCUUCCGCAAUGGGCGAAAGCCUGACGGAGCAACGCCGAGUGAGUGAUGAAGGUCUUCGGAUCGUAAAACUCUGUUAUUAGGGAAGAACAAAUGUGUAAGUAACUAUGCACGUCUUGACGGUACCUAAUAAGAAAGCCACGGCUAACUACGUG
rnacentral:rRNA from 1 species